AUCUGGAUGACGAGUCCCAAAUAGGACGAAACGCGAGUCCGGGAU
rnacentral:hammerhead_ribozyme from 1 species